GAAGAAGCGCCGGAGCCUACUGCGACAUAGGCUGACGAGGACAGGGAGCAUCGAAUUUUCGGCGGAUGCCCUGCGGCAGUUAUGUCGUGAGCGUAAGUACAAAUAUCGGAGAAAUCUGAAAACAAAGCCUU
rnacentral:ncRNA from 1 species